rnacentral:misc_RNA from 1 species
CUGAACCAAACCAAAAUAAAUUGGUUUGGUUCGGUUUAGCAACUUAGUUCUCCUCCAAAUGCCAAUCUCCCAUUUUAUGUUCUGUUCUUCAAUCCUAAACCUAGAGAAACAGAGAAAACAUGUGCGAGGAGACAGAGAAACUUGUCUAAAAUACUUCUCUUUACCUGUUCAACUCUCUCCUCCAUCCUUGUCUUGGGCAUAUGGAGAUCUGGCAAGUCAAACCAAUUUGAUAGAGUAAGGAGUAUUAAGACCAAUUUGAUAGAGUAAGGAGUAUUAAG